rfam:Myotis brandtii contig170356, whole genome shotgun sequence.
CGUGCACCAGUGGGGUCCCUCGGCCUGGCCUGUGCCCUCUCGCAAUUUGGGACCCCUUGGAGGAUGUCAGAGAGCUGGUUUCGGCCCGAUCCUGCAGGCCAGGCCGAGGGACCUCACUGGUGCAUG